UCUUUUAAUUGAAGGCUGGUAUGAAUGGUUGGACAAAUAUUAACUGUUUCAUAAAUAUUUUUAUUAAAAUUUUAUUUUUUAGUCAAAAAGCUAAAAUAAAUUUAAAAGACAAGAAGACCCUAUAAAUCUUUAUAAUUUAACUAUUAAAAAUUUAUAGAAUUAUUUUAUUAUAAUAGUAAGUAUUAUUUUAUUGGGGUGAUAUUAAAAUUUAAUUAACUUUUAAUUUUAAAUUUCAUUAAUUUAUGAGUGAUUGAUCCAUUAUUAAUGAUUAAUAAAAUAAGUUACUUUAGGGAUAACAGCGUAAUUUUUUUGGAGAGUUCAUAUCAAUAAAAAAGAUUGC
rnacentral:rRNA from 1 species